AUGACUUUUCAGCCGCUCGUGGGAACAUCUGCAGGCACGAGGAGAAGCGAGGAUUCUGGCUGGUUUGGAGCUGCCUUGCAUUUGAAGAUGAUGCGAUUGCUGUUCCUGUGUCUGCUGCUGCUGCUGCCGACCACCACUGCUGCUUCAGAUGACGUUGAAGGAUCAGCUGAUGGAGAUGUGGAUGAUGAGGAUCUCAAUGAGGACCCAGAUUUCCUUGCAAAAUAUGGUUCUGGCCUGGGUGUAGCCGGAUCGAUGGGAGAUGAGGAACGACCAGAUCACUUCAUCAUGGUCGUCAUCGUUGUAGCCGUGGCGGCGCUCACCCUUUCAGUUGCAGCAAUAGUCACCGUAAUGCUGGUAAGACGCCACAUGCGCCGUCAGCAACAAGGGGUGUACUCCGUGCCUGUGGAACAGCAUCAGAAAGGGGUCUAGAGACUGGCGACUACUCGGUCCCACGGCCGACAGCAAUCAAACGCACCACUACAGUCCUUCGACCUUCUCCACUCAUGACA
rnacentral:lncRNA from 1 species